GGAGGAGUGCCUGAGCGGUUUAAAGGAACGGUCUUGAAAACCGUCGUGUGGGCAACUGCACCGUGAGUUCGAAUCUCACCUCCUCCG
rfam:Candidatus Melainabacteria bacterium GWA2_34_9 gwa2_scaffold_2503, whole genome shotgun sequence.